GACGAACGCUGGCGGCGUGCCUAAUACAUGCAAGUUGAGCGCUGAAAGUUGGUACUUGUACCGACUGGAUGAGCAGCGAACGGGUGAGUAACGCGUGGGGAAUCUGCCUUUGAGCGGGGGACAACAUUUGGAAACGAAUGCUAAUACCGCAUAAAAACUUUAAACACAAGUUUUAAGUUUGAAAGAUGCAAUUGCAUCACUCAAAGAUGAUCCCGCGUUGUAUUAGCUAGUUGGUGAGGUAAAGGCUCACCAAGGCGAUGAUACAUAGCCGACCUGAGAGGGUGAUCGGCCACAUUGGGACUGAGACACGGCCCAAACUCCUACGGGAGGCAGCAGUAGGGAAUCUUCGGCAAUGGACGAAAGUCUGACCGAGCAACGCCGCGUGAGUGAAGAAGGUUUUCGGAUCGUAAAACUCUGUUGGUAGAGAAGAACGUUGGUGAGAGUGGAAAGCUCAUCAAGUGACGGUAACUACCCAGAAAGGGACGGCUAACUACGU
rnacentral:rRNA from 1 species